CGGAGGGAAGCAAAGACUUAAGUUAGAGGCCCUCUGCAGCGGUCACCGAGCCACCAGGCGUGUCCUGACUUGGGUGAUAAAAACACAGGCAAACGAACCUGUAGCUGCCUGGCGCUGCAGUGGCCCUGCCCACCCGGCCGUGUAAUUGCCAGAUGAAUAAACCCGUGCCUGGAGUCAAAGCAGCUUGCCUGGAUUACCCUGCUGGGAAGUGGUGAGGAUAGAACAAAAACCCAAACAGUUUGGGUCUGCAGGCCUUCUUCUUACUGAAGCACUGAUUAUUUUUUUUCUGGAAAAUAAAAAUACAGGGGAUUUGAAAUGUGGUCUUUGUGCUUUCCAUAUUGUCUAAAAUUUAUACUCUACACUCACUAUUUUAUAAUCAGGAAUUGUUCCCGAAGAGUUCAAGUUUUGAGAAGCCUUUAAUAGGUCAGUCCAGCCCAGCAAUCCUCCACCACCAUGAAAAUCCCAUUGACGUCUAUGCAAGAUGCUCCCCGCACCUGUGACUUGCCUACUGCACACUCUGUUUUCAGCUAACGAACGAUGCUUCCUCAUUUGCCCCCCGAAUGUUCCUGCUAGUCGUUGUGUUCUCAUUAUUCUGUUCUCUCAAACGUCCCCCUGGUACUUUCUGUAGGAGACGUGCUUGGUUCUCAGUCGUAUCCACGUCGUCCGUUUUCUCAGCCCUCUGCCACCCUGCGCGUCCAGACCCCACGGGGGUCAUGCUGCACGCCUCACUGUCACCGCUGAAACGUGGGCGGAAGUCAGACAGAAGCAGCUCCCUGAGCAGAGGUCAGGUGCGAGGUGCUGGUGCGGGCGGGCUGCUCUGCACUGGCUUUUCGUGCUCCAGGGAAAUGAACUUCAGCAGACAACUUCCAAGGCGACGGCGAUGUUGGGUCUCCAGAUGGAGGGAGCUUGCUCGUUACUGAACGCAAUAGUAGAAUCUCUCUGUUGACCAGUGAUCAAUCAUUUUAAUCAGGAAUGAACACUUUACGUGUCAAGCCCAAGAUCAUGUGGUUAUUAUUUUUUAAUUAAAAAUUUUUUGUUGUUGUUGAAGUAUAGUUGAUUUGCAGUGUUAUGUUAGUUUCAGGUGUACAGCAUAGUGAGUCAGUUUAUAUAUAUAUAUGGAAUUAUAUAUUCUCUCUAUAUGUACAUUCUGUAUAUAUAUAUAUAUAAAUAUAUAAUCUUUUCCAGUUUAUUUUCCCUUACAGAUUAUUAUAAAAUAUUGACUAUAGUUCCCUGUGUUAUACAGUAGGUCCUUGUUGGUUAUCUGUUUUAUAUGUUGUAAUGUGUAUUUUUUUUUUUUUUGAGGGCCGCACCUGUGGCAUAUGGAGUUUCCCAGGCUAGGGGUUGAAUCGGAGCUGUGGCCACCACAGCCACAGCAGCACUAGAUCCGAGCCGUGUCCUCGACCUACACCACAGCUCCCGGCCACGCUGGAUCCUUAACCCACUGGGCGAGACCAGGGAUCAAACCCGAAACCUCAUGGUUCCUUGUUGGAUUCGUUUCCGCUGCGCCACGACGGGAACUCCAUGUACAGUAAUGUGUAUACGUUAAUCACAGACUCCUAAUUUAUCCCUCCCCCUUCCUCUUUGAUAACUAUGUUUCUUUUUGAAGUCUGUGGGUCUGUUUCUGUUUUGUAUAUAAGCUUAUUUGAAUCUUAAAAAAUUUUUUUUUACAUUCCACAUAUAAGUGAUAUCAUAUGAUAUUUGUCUUUCUGUCUCACUUCACUCAAUGUGAUAACCUCUAGGUCCAUCCAUGUUGCUGCAAAUGGCAUUAUUUCGUUCUUUUUCAUGGCUAAAUAAUAUUCCAUUGCAUGCAUGUACCACAUCUUCUCUGUCCAUUCAUCUAUUGAUGGACAUUUAGGUUGCUUCCACCUCUUGGCUAUUUUAAAUAGUGCUGCAAUGAACAUAGGAGUGCAUGUAUCUUUUCAAAUUAUAAUUUUCUCUGGCUAUAUAUAGGAGUGGGAUGGCUGGAUCAUACGGUAGUUCUACAUUGAGUUUUCGGAGGAACCGCCAUACUGUUUUCCACAGUGGCUGUACCAGUUUACAUUCCUACCAGCAGUGUAGGAGGGUUCCUUUUUCUCCACACUCUCUCCAGCAUUUAUUAUUUGUAGACCUUUUUUUUUUGCUUUUUGGGGCUGUACCUGGGGCAUAUGGAAGUUCCCAGGCUAGGGUUGAAUUGGAGCUGCAGCUGUCAGCCUAUGCCACAGUCAUGGCAAUGCCAGAUCCGAGCCGUGUCUUCGAACUACACCACAGCUCCUGGCAACGCUGGAUCCUUAACCACUGAUUGAGGCCAGGGAUCGAACCUGCAACCUCAUGGUUCCUAGCUGGAUUUGUUUCUGCUGAGCCAUGACAGGAACUCCUAUAGCCCAACUUUUUUUUGGUUUAAAUUUAAUUUUAUUAGAGUAUACUUGAUUUACGAUGCUGUAGCAACUUUUGAAAAGACUUUUUCAACCCAUCAAGUUGCUAGGGCACCUUUGUUGGAAAUCAAUGACUGUAGAAAUGUGGUUCUAUUUCUGGAAUUUCUGUUCCACUGAUCUCCUUGCCUUUCAUUUGGCUAAUUCCACAUUGUCUUGAUUGCUCUAUCUUUAUAAUAUUGAUUGCUAUAUCUUUAUAAUAAUUCUUGAAGUCAGAGAGAGUUUACAAUAUUGCUCUUCUCUUUUAAGAAUGUUCUGUGAUUCCAGGUCCUUUGCAUUGCCCUAUAAAUUUUUAUUUUUUAUUUUUUGCUUUUUAGGGCCGCACGUGCAGCAUAUGGAAGUUCUCAGGCUAGGGGUCGAAUCGGAGCUGUAGCUGCGGACCUACUCCACAACCACAGUGAUUCAGGAUCCAAGGCGCUUCCGAAACCUAUACCACAGCUCACAGCAACGUUGGCUCCUAAACCCACCAGGUGAGGCCAGGGAUUGAACCUGCACCUCCAUGGUUCCUAGUCAGGUUUUUUAACUGCUGAGCCAUGAAGGGAACUCACUGCCCUAUGAAUUUUGGAAUCAUUUUGUCAGUUUCUAGAAGAAAAGCACAUUGGGAUUAUGUUUGGGAUGUUGUUGAAUGUAUUGAUCAAAUUGUGGGGAAUAGACUUCCUAAAUAUAUUGAGUUUCCAUUAUGGGAACAUGGAUCUCUCUCCACUUAUUUAGAGCUUUCAAAAUUUCUCUCAGCAUUCAAAAAAUAGUUUUAACGAAAGGACUUGCACACUUUUUGUUAAAUUUAUUUUUAAGCAUUUCAUGUUGACGCUUACCUGGUCAGUCUUAGCCUGUCUGUAGUGAUGCUAUCAGCCACAAAUGCCGGGGCCCUCGCUGUCGAUGGAGCCUUCCCAGACGUUUCCCCCCCAGAGCCAAGGCUGUGGUUGGACCAGCCCCGUGGUUUUCAUUGUGACUGCAAGACGCGCUUCAGCAUCCACCACCUGGGAGCUUUGAGAAGAUAAGUUUUGUAGCUGACGUGCCCUGGAAGGUAUGUGUCUUGCCAGGGCUCACUGUGGGUGGGAUGGGGGAGGAGGGAGAGAGGCUUCUCUCUCUGGGCUUCUGCCUUUAUUGGGGUCGAGGAUAGGGCCUAGGGUUUUCAGGCUUACUGUUCAUUGGUGAAUUUAAAGCAUAAGAGUAGGACUUCAGGGGCAGGAGGGGAAAAGCAAGCCAUCCAAGGGUCAAGUGUAUUUCCUGAAAAAGGGAAAUUCAUGAGUAGGUGGCCUGGUUCUUCCUCUAGCUGUGGGGCUGCCGAUGUGCUGACCUGAGAUGGAUUCUUUGGAGUAUUUGCCUCAGCAAUGAAAAGCUUGAUGUUGGGCACUUUCAUUAUAUUCAAAAAGCUAAUUAUUGGGUGUUUACAAUGCUAUUAUACAUUUUUUUUUUAGGGCC
rnacentral:lncRNA from 1 species